UCAGGAAGGAUGCUGGAGGGUUGGGUUUCCACUAGUUACCACAGCCACAGAGUCAAAAUGGACUAUAUCGUAAAAAAACAGCGUUUUGAAGGGGCUAAAUUUAAGGUGAGGCAUAAAGUUAGCAGUGUGUUUAGGGUUAGGUUUAAAAUCAGAUUGUACGAAUAACAAUUGUAGAAAUGGGCGGGGUGUAGCCAUAAUUAUGACUUUGUGGUUGUGAUAACUAGUGACGACCAGAGGUUUAAUGUACAGCCAAAUAUACUCCAUUCUCUACUAUCUCUGGUACAGUUUAUCUGUGACAAAAUGUCGAUGACAACUAUGUAGAAGGUUACUCUGAUUUUCUGCUCUGUCCUCUGUGUUUCGUUUUUCCUUCCCUAAAUAAUUUUCCCGAGAGGGAAGAAUGAUGUAGGGCAGCCCGAGGUUGGUCCUGAGUAUUAUCCUCCCAUGAUGCAUCGCCUACAGAUGCCAGAGGAGGGCCUCGGACAGUGGAUGGAGGGGACUCAUGACUCUGGGCCCCACAGCCCUGAGGUCCUGGCUAAAGUCAAAGGCAUGGGCACACUUCAGAUCCGAGGAGCCACUAAAUCCAAUCGGAUCAGCCAGGCCAUCCCCAUCUACGGAUUUGGAAUCCUACUCUAUAUCCUCUUCAUCAUAUUCUAGAUAAGCUGCACAAUGUCCACCCUAGACUGGCUCAGUCAAAUGGAUAGACAAACUAUUUAGAGGCAGGAAUGUAGAAGAUGUAGACUAUUACAGUUUUUAACAGCAUCCAUGUCAUACCUAUACUGGCUAGGAGUCCAGUGCAUCCAGUACAUUACAAGGUGUGCAUACCAUAAAUGCAUUGUUGUAUUCACAGAUGACAACUAGGCCUAAAGGAAAAAGUACUAAACUGGUAUGCUGAUUUCCUACAAUGACAUUUGAAGCUUGGCAGAAGAGGAGGACAGAUGAUGAGCUGGCCCAGCUUCAGGAGAAGCUGCUGGAGACAGAGGGUGAAGUAGAGGAUUGUCUCCAGAAGUAGCAGCACUCCUAACAGCACGACUAGCAGCAAGGUUAGAAGAGCAUCCAAGCAGGAGAAGUUACUGCGGAAGCUGAGUAAGAUCAGCCGGGUGAUGCAGGAGGUAUGACUGAUGGAAGGGGCCACACCUGAGAUGGUGCCCUACGCUGCUGACUGAGAGGACCUACCCCCAGUAUAAGGAGCGCAGAGGCAGUUAUGACCCCAUCACCAUCCUGGGAGGAGCCUGCUGCUGACUCAGAUACCCACUGCCGAGGCCCUGGCUGAGGAGAUGGUGGAUGAGGAGGUAGAAGAGGAAGCAGGGGAGGAGGAGCAGUAGCUCUGCCCGCCCCCACCUCCUGAAGGAUGAAUGGAAGAAACGGGUAGUAGUCCCACCAGAGUAAAAAAGCUCAUCAGAUUCAGCGACCACAAAGACGUGUUUCACUACCCUAAGCAGGAUACGGUCUAUGAAUAUAGGUAUAGAGAGGAGGAGGAAGAGGAGCAACUGGAUGUCAGAAGGUGAAUUCACCAAUUUGUAAGUCGCUCUGGAUAAGAGCGUCUGCUAAAUGACUUAAAUGUUAAAUGUUAAGUGGAUGAGACAGAGGAAGAGGAGCAAGUGGAUGAGACAGAGGAAGAGGGAGUAGUAGGUGAUGAAGACCCACUGAUGGAGGCCGAGGCUCUCAGUUUUAGUUGUGAUGUCUGUAGUAAUCCAGAAGCAGAAGAAGAGAUGGAAGAAGAGUACAUUCUACUGUCUCAGUCUGAAGAGACAGACAGCUUCACCCCACCAGAUAGGUCUGGGGAGCUGGGGAUUGGGAGUUCUCUCAGGUUGAGGAACAGGAGAGAGACAGAGGGCAGAGUCAAUGAGGAAACUAGCUCAUCCUAAACUUGCCUCUCUAGCCCUUUGACCUUACUGAAUGUUCUGAAUAUUCCCAAGAAUGUACCUCUCCUUAUGCAAAUCCCAGUUUUCUAUCCUGUCUCCUUGCGUCCCAAGGCAGAAUAUGCUGUUCAGUGGGUGAAUUUUGUGAUCCUACUAGACUACCUAAUACCCUAAUAUUCAUGCUGCUUUAAAGAAAACCAUUUACCCACAAUUCAUCAUGUCCUUUGAUGAUAGACAUCAAACUAUCUGACUAACUUUAUUCCAAUAUGGCAGUCAAGCAUUGUAGAGACCCUGGUGUCCUCUGGGAUAGAUUGUAAACAGAGAGAGAGCAGGGACCCAUAUAAAUGAGUAAACAGAGGUAGAUCGUUCAAGUCCAGCUUUUGUAUCUCAAGACUAUUAAAGUGGACACAUUCUAUUAAAAGGUCAUAUGAAAAAUAUUUUUUCAAACCAGCAACUAUUAAGCCCAGAAUGUAGUCGUAAUAAAAAAUGAAUUGUCCAUGA